UUGAUCCUGGCUCAGAAUCAACGCUGGCGGCGUGCCUAACACAUGCAAGUCGAGCGAGAGGAAGUAGCAAUACUUUAGUAAAGCGGCGCACGGGUGAGUUACACGUGGAUAACCUGCCUCGAAGUGGGGAAUAACCCCGGGAAACCGGAUCUAAUACCGCAUAAUCUGACGAGAUCUGUGGAUUUUGUCAGCAAAGGAGUAAUUCGCUUUGAGAGGGGUCCGCGGCUGAUUAGCUAGUUGGUGAGGUAAUGGCUCACCAAGGCCACGAUCAGUAGCCGGUCUGAGAGGACGGUCGGCCAUACUGGAACUGAGACACGGUCCAGACUCCUACGGGAGGCAGCAGUGGGGAUUUUUUCGCAAUGGGGGCAACCCUGACGAAGCAACGCCGCGUGGGUGAUGUAGUAUUUCGGUACGUAAAGCCCUUUCGACGGGGACGAAACCGCAAGGUUUACGGUACCCGUAGAAGAAGCCCCGGCUAACUCCGUGCCAGCAGCCGCGGUAAUAAGGU
rnacentral:rRNA from 1 species